GCCCCCUUCUGCUGUGGAGGCCUCAGCCCCAGAUGAUUCCAAUCGUGAAUUCAUUGUUGUGGUCCUAGAAGGAGCUCCCAAAACAGAGAAGAAGCCCAAGGUUCUCGGUGUGUCUGCAGUGACAGGCAGGAUCAUCCCAGCUCCAGAUGAUGAUGAAGAGCCAGCAGGGCAGGUAACAGAGCAAGCGCCGCCUGCUUAGAAUGCAGAUGCACUAACACCAGCUGGGAGCCUAUGAGCCUUGAAAUCUUGAACCCCUACCCCGUGGAAGAAAUGAGGGAUGUGCCUUCACCCCCCACUGACACAACCUAACCCUUUCACUGAAUCAUGAGCCCUUUAACCUUUCUUGUUUGUUCAUAAUUUCUUCUCCAACCCCGACAUAUGGCUGUCCCAAGGCUCUUGCAUUGUGGUCGGAUCAUGUUGGUUUAAUGAGAAAGUCACACUCUCUACAAACUCUUGUCUAUCUCUGCCUGGAUUCAAACAGCUAAAUUAUCAGGGAAAUGUGUAAGCCAAAUUACUAUUCCCGGUUUGAUUCUGAAAUGGUUUUCGUAGCUGACAAGGCUCUUUGUCAUAUGCUGUCACCUGGGAAUCCUUCUGUGCAGGAUUUUACCUUAUACUUCCCUGUUAAAAUGGCUGUUUAAAUCCAGACUCUCACAGAAAAGCACUCAGCUCAAACAUUUACUCCUUCAGUUCAUUUUUGCUUUUUCUUCUGGCAUCACAGCCAAUAGGUUUAGAUCUUAUAUGACUUUAUCCCACUGCAUGGUGAAAAUCACUCUUCAUAUCUGUAGUAUUACAAAGAAACAACUGUUUUUAUGAUAGGACUCUUGCUCCUGGAUAAAGAGAAGUUUGUAUUUUCUAAUAGAGACAAAUAGACUAUACAAUAGUGAUGGUUUGGAAAAUGGAGAAGGAUCAGAUUGUAUUUCUUUACUGUUCUGUCUUUCCUUCAAACCCAGUGCAUGAAGGUCAAUAGUAUUCUUCCUAGUAAUUCACCCUACCUCAACCUCACUCUUACCAGGCCAUGUUUUCUCACCGCCAUGCCAAUAGUUACUAUGGUGACAGGCCACAAAUGGAUUAUAAACAUAACAGGUCACUGCCAUGAGUAAAUGCUGUGAGAGAACUUUCCAGAGUUGACCUCAGGUAAUCCGCUUGUUUCCUUUUUAAAAUGUGAAUCUUAAAACUAUUUUGGAUAGAUUAGUGGGAUUUCCUGAAAAUACUACGUAACAUAAUAUUACAUUAGAAGCUAUCUGGCAUGUGUGGGAGGCAUGGACCAUACCUCACUACCUCAGUCUGAACUCCGUAGCUGCUGAUCCUUCAUUGCACUUUUCCUACUGCAAACACAGUGUUCUACCUUCUGAAAGACUAAUAAGGGAUUGAGGUGCUAGAGUUGACACUUAAAAAAGAGUCAGCUGACAUUGGUCUGGAUCAUGUCUCUCUCUCUGUUUAAAAUGACACUCCCCAAAAUACACUGCAUUACAGUAUACUGUGAACAGAUACAUUUUCCCAUAGCAUCAAGUCGUGAAAUCAAAUACAUUUCAGAAAGGCAGACAUUUGAGCCUCCUGGGUUUUUUUCUUCUUUUUUUUUAAUUGCUUUUCAUCUCACAUCUGCACUUUGACAAGCUGUGCCCAAACACUGUCGUUUGUAAAGAAGAAUGGAAGAAUGUUGGACUGUACAUCAUGUUGGUGACACUUGUCUGUGUUUAAGAUGUGCUAUAAUCAUUACCGUGAGAUUUUUGAUGGUGGAGAAAAUAUUUUGGAGCACAUUGCUUUGCAGGUGAAGCUUAUGCUAAUGCUUUAGUUGAUUUAGCCUUUCUUGCAUUGGUCUGCUGCAGAGGAACGAUGUUUAGGGUUUUUUUUCCCCCUCCGUGCUAAACUAAUAUGUUAGACAUUCUACAGGUCAUUUCUCAGACUAUUAGUGUGAACCCGUUUAUUAAAGAUGGAGAUAAUUGUUUUUUUUCACCUGUCUUUUCUUUCUGUGUUGUAUUCGAAAAAGGAACUGAAAUCAUUGAAAAGUGAAUAUAAACUUACUUAUACAGUGUGGGGAGCAGGUUUUUCACUGAGUCUGUUUUCAAGUGUUUCUUUAGGAUGUAUGUUUUAUAAACAGUGGCUUGAGGGAUUGAAUAGCAUGGAUGUCAAGACUGCUCUGGAGUUUUUUUUUCUCUUAACAGUGAUGGUCCCACACCUUUAUCCAUAACUGUUAAUGUAGACAAAUUUCUGUGUGUAAGAAAUAAAAAGGGA